rnacentral:pre_miRNA from 1 species
UCUUAUAAGUGAGCAAAGAAAGUGGUUUCUUGAGAUGAAAUCCACUUCUGGUGAAGAUGCUGUGAA